GUCGGGGUGGCGGAACGGUAAACGCAGUUUUAUAUAAAUAAAACGAGCUAAAUGCUCUUGAGGGUUCAACUCCCUCCCUCGACA
rnacentral:tRNA from 1 species